CAAUCAUCCUUGGUAUCAAGAACCUCAAUUUUCACCUAUCAACGUAUCGUUUAGAACGGUGAACUGUAGGUUCUUGAGAAUUCUGGUGUUAGGAGCAAAUUUCUGAAGUGAUAGAGUUGUUCGGUCCGGUUAAGAGAGAGAGAGAGAUAGAUGAAUGAAGAAAUAUACCUUGUAGCGAGUAACGAGGUUUUUCCACUUGCACUUGCACUGCUCUGCACUUCUAUGGUAACCCUUUUCCUUCAUUCUCGUUGAGAUCACUUCCCACAACUGCUUGUUCCUCUUAGUCUCCAUGAAAGUCUGAUCCAGCUCUGCACGAAUCACGAGAAACUCCUUAGUCUCUUGGAUACUCCAUUGGGGAAACCUAUCAGUCGCAUCAACGUUGGCACUCGUAUUCUGAGGCUGAAGCCUUUGUUGCUGUUGUUGUUGCCCAUGGUGGCGAUGGAGAUGAUGACCCUCCAUUCAAAUCGAAGAAAAGUUCGUGACUUGAUCGAAUCCCAGUUAUAUACUAGAAAGAAUUGAAGAAGCAAUCGUUGUUACCCCUCUGAUCACACAGAAAAAAGAUGGAUUUUUCUUCGGGAAGAGAGAGAGAGAUAGAGAGAGAAAAGAAGAGAAAAGAAAGGGUUAUAUAUGGGGUGGUGGGAACACGAGACGAGACAGUUGUGUUGUAAAUCGCGUUAAGAGGAAAAAGAGAGAUUUGC
rnacentral:sRNA from 1 species